UGGGGAAUAUUGGACAAUGGGGGGAACCCUGAUCCAGCGACGCCGCGUGAGUGAAGAAGUAUUUCGGUAUGUAAAGCUCUAUCAGCAGGGAAGAAAGAAAUGACGGUACCUGACUAAGAAGCCCCGGCUAACUACGUCGCC
rnacentral:rRNA from 1 species